CUGCAGGAGUAGGGACAUCCAGUAGUAGUACUCCAGGGACCAGUGACACACAGGCCAGGAACACACAGCCUGCAUCAAGUGAAGGUGAAGGGACACCCAGGACCACAUCAAGCACUCAGGGCACCAGUGAAAGACAGACGACUGAGACCAGGGACACGCAGCCUGAAGGAAGUGAAGGGGCCACAUCAAGCAUUCCAGGCACCAGUGAAACACAGACCACUGAGACCAGAGAUACUCAGCCUGAAGCAAGUGGACCAUCCUAAAGCACCACAUCAAAACAACUGUGAAAUCCUGGUCGGAUACAAGAUGGGAAAGUCGCAUUGACAGUGUACAGGCUGUGAGAUUCCAGACAGUGGAGGUGAGGGAUGCCCUUCUUGAUGUCAGGGAGAAAGCCACAUAUUCUAUGAUUAAAACUGAGGCACAGUCUUUGGCUGAAGAGGUUGGAUCAUACCGCUUCUCCAUUUGUAGCGUUGUGUGGUAUGACAUGCUGGCCAAAAUUCAUCAUGUCAACAAAGCAUGUCUAUGCAACUGGAUGUGGCUCUGAAUCUCCUGAGGACAACUGAAGCCUCUCUGGUCAGCUGCAGAAGCAGUGGGUUUGUUUCUGCUCAGGUAUCUGCAAAAGAUCUCUGUGAGGAGAUGAAUGUGGACACUUUCCUAAAGCAGAAGAAGCUGAGAAAAAACUAAAGACAGUUCUCGUAUGAAUCCCCUGAUGAGCCAGAGGGAAAUGUGCUAAAGAAAUUGGAAAUUUCCUUUUUCAAUGUCAUUGUUGAU